CUUCUACUCCCUCCGUUCGGAAUUACUUGUCGUAGAAAUGGAUGUAUCUAGAUGUAUUUUAGUUCUAGAUACAUCCAUUUUUGAGACAAGUAAUUCGGAACAGAGGGAGUAUAUC
rnacentral:pre_miRNA from 1 species